rnacentral:rRNA from 1 species
GAUCGGAUCGAGAUUCCGUACUCGCCAGAUCAGCUUGUUGGUGAGGUAACGGCUCACACAGAGAAUCGGAGAGUUGCUGGUCUGAGAGGACGAUCAGCCACAAGGGGGGUGAGACACGGUCCAGAAUCCUAUUGGAUGCACCAGUAUUGAAUCUUGAGCAACAGUAUAAAGCCAGAGGCAGCAAUUCCCCGUGGGGGAUGAAGGCCUUAUGGUCGCAAUCCCCUUUCAGCAGGGGAAUAACAGUCUGUACUAACAGAAGAAGCUCCGGCCAAAUACGUGCCAGCAGCGCAGGUAAGAUGUAGGGGUUCACAGUUGUCGGGACUCAUUGGGUGUAAAGAGUUUGUAGGCGGUUAAUCAAGUCAACGCUGAAACCUCAGGUCUCAACUCGGAGACGCCAUCGUAGUUGGCCGGUGACUUGAAUCCAGGGGGGAGUGUGGAAUUUUCGUCGUAGCGAAAGAGGUGCCAAUAUCAGGAGGAACAUCUAUCACAAGGCAGCACUCUUCAGUGGUUUGCCCAUGAGGAGCGAUAGCCUGGGUAGCAAACAGGAGGAGUUACGGCGGUAUUUCAGUCCCAGUGCGGCCGGCAGUCGGUGCGGGGACUUUUACCGGUUUUCGCGCUGAUACUACAUUCAUUAAGUCCCCAAGCUGGGGAGUCGGGA